rnacentral:rRNA from 1 species
UACGUAGGGGGCUAGCGUUGCUCGGAAUCACUGGGCGUAAAGGGCGCGUAGGCGGCCAUUCACGUCGGGGGUGAAAGCCCAGGGCUCAACCCUGGAAUUGCCUUCGAUACUGUUUGGCUAGAGACCGGAAGAGGUAAGUGGAACUGCGAGUGUAGAGGUGAAAUUCGUAGAUAUUCGCAAGAACACCAGUGGCGAAGGCGGCUUACUGGUCCGGUACUGACGCUGAGGCGCGAAAGCGUGGGGAGCAAACAGG